rnacentral:rRNA from 1 species
CAGCAGCCGCCGCGGUAAUACGUAGGGCGCAAGCGUUAUCCGGAAUUAUUGGGCGUAAAGAGCUCGUAGGCGGUUUGUCGCGUCUGCCGUGAAAGUCCGGGGCUCAACCCCGGAUCUGCGGUGGGUACGGGCAGACUAGAGUGAUGUAGGGGAGACUGGAAUUCCUGGUGUAGCGGUGAAAUGCGCAGAUAUCAGGAGGAACGCCGAUGGCGAAGGCAGGUCUCUGGGCAUUAACUGACGCUGAGGAGCGAAAGCGUGGGGAGCAAACAGGAUUAGAUACCCCCGUAGUCCCUGUCUCUUAUAC